UCAUAUUGAUCAAUUUGACUUUGGUUUUGGCUCGUUGAUUUUAAGGCCUGAUUGUUAAACACUUUGAUUAAACUAUUAGUUGUUAGGUUUAUUUUUGAUCUGACUUCUGAACACAUUGCUAAAAGAGUUUGGGUUUCCAAGCACAUAAUCAAUAAAAUACUGGCCUAAGUGAGAGAGGUAUGAGGUGUGGUUUUGGUUUGGUUUUUUAAGUCAACAGUAGAGUCAAUAUAGAUGAGAUAACAUCCUCUUUUCGGACUUUAGUGAUAAAAACAAACAACCUUGUCCUGAUUAGAGAGCUUAUUACAUUUUGCUAAACAUAUUAGUGAGAAUCAAGGUAUUCUGCAUAUUUGUAACUUCAGUAGAGGAAUUGCUGUGGAAAUAAAACCUCAACAUAAGAAAAAAGAUUUUUUUUACAUUGGAAAGAUGUGUUUUGUCCAGGAAGCGGUGCAGCACUUGGAUCAAUAUCCUCCAUACCUGAGAGGACUUCAUAAUGUCUUUGUACAGUAAGUCUUGGGUGACUGUUCUUCCGUCACUUUGGCCAGCCGCAUUUUUGCAUUUGGGGGGCUCUGCUAGGGUAUCCUCCUGGGACCUCUUUUAGGAUUUAAUGUCAUUAAUUCUUGUCAGUAGCAGCUGUAUUAAGCUUUUGUGUGGCGCUCAUUGCCAAAGCACCCCUAUCUCACAGGUAAACCUGUUACAUGGUUGUAUUACAAGUAUUCUUGCACUUGGUCUCUGAACCACUGCAGAGCUUCAAUUCUUACAUUUCCUUUAUGGGGAGGCAGUGACUUGCCAAAGAGGCGGGAUUUGCAGCAUGUUCUGCUUUGCAUGAUCAGUUCUAUCACUUACUGAAACAAACCUUAUGAAUGUGAAUAAACAUCUUUUUUAUUAGGCCUUGACUCCAAGGAGUAUUAUACUCCAGAGAGAACAACGUAAGUGGAAGAAUGUGUGUACUGCUGGAGCUAGAUGUGUUGACAGUGUCAAAGUCCAGAACUGGGCACAGACUUUACAGUGGCCGGGGGCAGUCUGCUCAGCUGGAGUUGAAGUUUAAUUAGAACCUCUGGAUGCCUGUGCAAAAUGAGGAGCAGGGCUAGAGUGAGAGCCCAGUGAUAAAGGAUGGAGCUGGCCACAAGGCAGAGAUGUUAAAUGGGAAUAUGCACAGCAUGUUUUGGGGUAAUACUUUGAGAACAAGUCAGACCACUCAAGAUGGACUCUCCAGGGUAAUGUAUGUGUCUUGAGUGAAACUGUACACAUAGAAGAGGAUUGACUUAAUCUGGUUUUGGCUUCUGGAUGAGAUAAAAUACAGUAUUGAGUAGUGGUAUUCCUUUGUGUGCUUGUUAGGAAACCUGCUGCAUGUUUUCUCUGUGUUCUCUGCAUGGCUUUAGAUAGAGAUACUUCCUUUUGUCUGAACUCUUUUAGUUUAGUCUGUUAAGCUCUGCAUCCCAUAAGAAGUCAGGUUAUGGAUAUGUUAAUAUUUAUUGUCUUAAAUACUUCAGUAGUCUCGUUGCUCAGUGUGUCGUUUCCUGUCUCAGCAAAGCUGCCAACAUGAUUACGUAUUUGUCUUACAGUGCUUUACAAUAAGAUUUUUCAAGGUGAAGUUGUUUUUUAAGAGGUUGUGGAGUCUCCUUCCCUGGAGAUACUCAAGAGCUGCCUGGUUGCAAUCCUGAGUAAUGUGCUCUGGGCGACCCUGCUUGAGCAGAGAGGUUGGACUAGAUGACCUUCGAUGGUCCCUUCCAGCCUUGACCGUUCUGUGAUAGGCUCUCAGAGGCAAUAAUGCUUGUCCUGUUGAUAGUGCUGGGUUAUUCGUGCUUCUCAGCUCAGGGCUGCCUGUGCAUAUGUGAUACUUGGGUAAUAGGGCUGUAAGAAGAGCAAGAGGAGGAAGAUGAAGUUAAGCUAUUAGUUGCAUAGGGUACUUAUCUUGAACAACCUUACUCAGAAAAAUGCCAUUUCUGGACUCAGAUGACUGGCAGUGUAUGGGAUGAGGCUGAUUUGCAUUACUAGAAGAUAGGCUGUGUUUUCCUCUGUUGAAGACUCAAUUGUCUGUAUCCUUGUUCAAAUAACUUAUUGCUUUGGUUUUGGAAAACACUAAUACAGCUUCCUUUCAUUAUGGCCAAGCGUGCAAGUUUGUUAUCCCUUGUUACUAAUAGUGGCCUUCACUUUGCUGUUUAUAGUUCAACUGUUGGAGAUUUUUGUGAUGGAAUUUUGUUGUGCUACUAGAAAUACUCUGUUGGGUAUCCUGUAUCUUAAUCCUGCAUAGGAAAUGGAUACCUUUGGAUGAACAGGAUUCCAGAACUCCAUGGCAAUUUAUUAAUAGGAUCUAUAUGACUAACUUGGAAAGGCUGCAGUGCCAUAGUCUUUCAAAAUUCAGACCUGUGUUGAAGUGAGAUUACAGAGCCUCCAGACCCCUCCAGGCUCUGAAUAAUGCCCCCAGUCAUCUGAAGAGAUGCAAUUUAUGCUCCAUUUCUGUGGCUUAUGACUUCUUUUGGUGGCACUUUGUGUAAGAGAGAGGAACAAAGGAAAUAAUUUAGAAGUAGUUGUAGGAAUUGCAUGGAUUCUCUUGGAAAGUAAGGUACCUUAUCAGGGGAGUGAUGUUCCUUCUUUGUUCCAUGCAGGCUAUUCAGCACUGAAAUCAAGCCAGUAUGUAGAUUGUUAUUAAGGUUGUGGGCACCUGAGGACAGCAACUCUGUAGAGUUUCAUGGCCAAGUCAGCAGUUACCUGCUUUGCUUAUUAGCAAGCCAUUGUGCUCUGUACCAAGUAUAAUCACACUAGGACAUAUUCCAUCUCUAUAGUUGAAAUGCGAGUUAGGAGCUGGUAUGUGUUCCUGCAUCUAGGUCUUCUGUUCCAUUUCAGGUCUAGCCAUUAGUCCAGCGUUUUGUCUUAACAGCAGCUUUGCAUUGUGUGCUCAAGAAAAAUAUUUCUGUUAUAUCACUUCUUGUUUCUGUAAAGUUCUUGUCUCAGACAAUACAAGCAGUGUUACAGAUCCAUUAGUAUUAGCAAAACAAACUCUCCAGUAUUAACUGGUAAAGGACUCUCCUUAAAAAGAAAUCCCAUGUAUCUCUUCACUAAACUUGUCUGUAUGGACAGUUAGCUUUGGGCAAUUCUGUGACACUUUUUCUGGAUUACUUGUUCAUUCUGGCACUUGAGAUUGUUUGGGUUAUUUGCCUAAUUAUCUAGAGAAAUGUUUCUCCUUUUCUAGAGCAUUCCCUGUUUUAAGAUGCCAGAAACUUGAGCUGUCUUUUGUAGAGUCACUCAGCUGUUCCAAACUGUUCUGGAGAAAGAACAAUUGACUCUGGAAGCACUAAAGUCUGAUCAAAGUAAACAACCUGUAUAUAUGCAAACUGUAGGAAGAGCUUCUGUACUGUGGAGCAUUCACUUGGACUGUGUUGGUUGGCUUGUUUUAGGAAUUCAUUAGUGUUUCACUUCCUGAAAGAACAUAAUUUCUAUUGAAUGGCUUAUGCUAUGGCAUCGCAAGUCUGUAAUCGAAUGCUUCAGACACUACUGUUCUGCUACAGCUUUCCCUGGGACAAUUGUCUGAACAUGGAAGUUAAGUGACUGUCAUAGAUAUGCUAGGAGAUUCCCAGGCUCAGUUGCUUACGUGUCUCAUAGCUCACCAUGGGGAGCAUCACAGUGUUCAUACAGCUGUAUUGGGCUUUUAAAGGAAUUUUUCACUUGUGCAAUAGUCUGGGCUCAGAUGUGGGAGAGAUGCUUGUAUGUUUGUCUUUUGCUAGUCCUGUCUCAGAUGGUGUAUCUCUAGCCAGUGUUCUGUUUGAACUUCCAGGGAAAUCAUCGUUCUGUGCUUUGAUUAUUUCCCUAUUACAAUUGCAAAUAAUUCAUGCUGCUAAUUAAAAUGCUGUUAGAAUUGCCCAGGGAGAGGGGCAGGGAAAGAAUACAGCCUGCUUAUGCUUGCAAUUUAUCUACCCUGUAAGUUUACAGAACAGUUAUUGCUAAGGUAGCUUGCGGUCUAUGAAUGAAGAUAUAUAACCUUCUGAUUCAUGGUGUUUGUCUACUGAAGGUAGAACAAAACAGCCACGUUUUGGAGCCCUGUUUUGUCUGGUUCAUGUGGAGUGGUCUGGUUAGGAGAAACAUUGUGCCCAAACCAGAUUCAUGUUCCCUAGAGAGAAACAGAUUCAGAGAGACCUCUCUGUUUAGUACUGAGGGCCUGAAACUGGGAAGGCCAUGAGUUCCCCAAAUAACUAAUAACUGGCAGUGGAGUUGCUUAUGCGGAUCUCAGAAACCAAAAAGAUGCACGUUUUGUAUUGUGAAAUGAAAAGGAAAUCAUUGCGGAGUUGGGGAAGUAGGUAAUAAAUCCAGAAGACUUUUAGUGUUGGUUGGAGUUCAGAGAGAAAUCAGAAGACCUAAGUAAGGUGUGUGUUAAACACUUGGGAAAUAACAACACUGAAGAAAACUGAUGUUAGUGUCUUAGUUGUCCAUGUGUAACAGUGAGAUUCCAAAACUAGUGAUAACUUUGUGGUGUGUUGUGACUGUGUAUUGCAAACCAGAUAAUGCUACUUCUGCCUCUUCCCUUUCCCUCCUGUUUUAAGUAAUAUGAAUUCAAUUCUGUCUUGUCUGCAUUGUGGUGGAUAAUUUUUAUUCUCUUUCCUGUCUUCAGAAAAAGUCAUUAGUAAUUCUUGUUUAAUACAGAAAGAUUAAAAUCAUCAACAUUGCUGAUGAC